rnacentral:rRNA from 1 species
AACGUCUGACACAGGUGCUGCAUGGCUGUCGUCAGCUCGUGUCGUGAGAUGUUGGGUUAAGUCCGUAACGAGCGCGACCCUUGUCCUUAGUUACCAGCACGUUAUGGUGGGCGACUCUAAGGAGACUGCCGGUGACAAACCGGAAGGAAGGUGGGGGAGUGACGUCAAGUCAUCAUGGCCCUUACGGCCUGGGCUACACACGUGCUACAAUGGUCGGUACAAAGGGUUGCCAAGCCGCGAGGUGGAGCUAAUCCCAUAAAACCGAAUCGUAGUCCGGAUCGCAGUCUGCAACUCGACUGCGUGAAGUCGGAAUCGCUAGUAAUCGUGAAUCAGAAUGUCACGGUGAAUACGUUCCCGGGCCUU